rnacentral:rRNA from 1 species
UACGUAGGGUGCGAGCGUUGUCCGGAAUUACUGGGCGUAAAGAGCUCGUAGGUGGUUUGUCGCGUUGUCCGUGAAAACUCACAACUCAAUUGUGGGCGUGCGGGCGAUACGGGCAGACUGGAGUACUGCAGGGGAGACUGGAAUUCCUGGUGUAGCGGUGGAAUGCGCAGAUAUCAGGAGGAACACCGGUGGCGAAGGCGGCUGUCUGGACAGACACCGACGCUGAGGCACGAAAGCUAGGGGAGCAAACAGG